UUUAUUGGAGAGUUUGAUCCUGGCUCAGGAUGAACGCUGGCGGCGUGCCUAAUACAUGCAAGUCGAGCGAAUGGAU
rnacentral:rRNA from 1 species